rnacentral:rRNA from 1 species
UAGGGAAUCUUCGGCAAUGGGGGCAACCCUGACCGAGCAACGCCGCGUGAGUGAAGAAGGUUUUCGGAUCGUAAAGCUCUGUUGUAAGUCAAGAACGAGUGUGAGAGUGGAAAGUUCACACUGUGACGGUAGCUUACCAGAAAGGGACGGCUAACUACGUGCCAGCAGCCGCGGUAAUACGUAGGUCCCGAGCGUUGUCCGGAUUUAUUGGGCGUAAAGCGAGCGCAGGCGGUUUGAUAAGUCUGAAGUUAAAGGCUGUGGCUCAACCAUAGUUCGCUUUGGAAACUGUCAAACUUGAGUGCAGAAGGGGAGAGUGGAAUUCCAUGUGUAGUGGUGAAAUGCGUAGAUAUAUGGAGGAACACCGGUGGCGAAAGCGGCUCUCUGGUCUGUAACUGACGCUGAGGCUCGAAAGCGUGGGGAGCGAACAGGAUUAGAUACCCUGGUAGUCCACGCCGUAAACGAUGAGUGCUAGGUGUUGGAUCCUUUCCGGGAUUCAGUGCCGCAGCUAACGCAUUAAGCACUCCGCCUGGGGAGUACGACCGCAAGGUUG